UNGCAUUGGAGAUGCUUCUGCUCAAUUAGAU
rnacentral:piRNA from 1 species